AACGUAGGAGGCGAGCGUUAUCCGGAUUUACUGGGCGUAAAGCGCGUGCAGGCGGCACGGCAAGUUGGAUGUGAAAGCUCCCGGCUUAACUGGGAGAGGUCGUUCAAAACUGCCGAGCUAGAGUGCGGGAGAGGGAGGUGGAAUUCCGGGUGUAGUGGUGAAAUGCGUAGAUAUCCGGAGGAACACCAGUGGCGAAAGCGGCCUCCUGGUCCGCAACUGACGCUCAGACGCGAAAGCUAGGGUAGCAAACGGG
rnacentral:rRNA from 1 species